rnacentral:rRNA from 1 species
GACAGAGGGUGCAAACGUUGCUCGGAAUCAUUGGGCGUAAAGCGCGCGUAGGCGGUCCAGCAAGUCGGGUGUGAAAGCCCUCGGCUUAACCGAGGAAGUGCAUUCGAAACUACUGGACUUGAGUACUGAAGAGGAUCGCGGAAUUCCCGGUGUAGAGGUGAAAUUCGUAGAUAUCGGGAGGAACACCAGUGGCGAAGGCGGCGAUCUGGGCAGAUACUGACGCUGAGGUGCGAAAGCGUGGGGAGCAAACAGG